CCUGAGAAACCCAAAAGAUCGAAUGGGGAGAUUCAUCGUCAGCUCAUUUUGUAUAUAUACAAGUUAUGAUAUGGGUUACUACUUGUAGUAUUGCCUAUACAUUCUUAUAUAUUUAAUUGCAAUAUGUUGCCGGCGUGCACUUCUCCUCUAGUAGGACGUCGCGACCCGUUGAGUGUCGGUCUACGGCCCAAGUGGUAGCCUUUAAUUUUAUUAUUGAAGACCCUUGGUGUUUCCUGACUGGCUACUCGGCGGUAUUCGUACGGUAUUAAGCCGCAUUUAUGCGUCCAUAUUCGUCGCAAGCGCGAUCAAUUUUUGGUAGUACGGACCUAGUGCCGUCGCUAUAAUUGAUCAGCUGUUGGUUGUACGGAAUUCUAGGACUGGCUUAAAAUUUUUUAUACCGGUCAGCGAUGCUACUGCUUUGGGUACUUUCAGGACCCGUCUUGAAACACGGACCAAGGAGUCUAACAUGUACGCGAGUCAUUGGGAUUUUUUUAAAAAUUAAACCUAAAGGCGUAAUGAAAGUAAAGGUCGUCCUUGUGUCGAUUGAGGGAGGAUGAGUUGUGUUAAGAUACAGCUUCGCACUCCCGGGGCGUCUCAUU
rnacentral:rRNA from 1 species